rnacentral:rRNA from 1 species
UACAGAGGGGGCAAGCGUUGUUCGGAAUUACUGGGCGUAAAGGGCGCGUAGGCGGCCUGCUAAGUCGAACGUGAAAUCCCGUGGGCUCAACCCAGGAACUGCGUCCGAUACUGGUUGGCUUGAAUCCGGGAGAGGGAUGUGGAAUUCCAGGGUGUAGCGGUGAAAUGCGUAGAUAUCUGGAGGAACACCGGUGGCGAAGGCGACAUCCGUGGACCGGUAGUUGACGCUGAGGCGCGAAAGCCAGGGGAGCAAAGCGGGAUUAAGAAA